UACCAGCACCCCGAGUGGUCGGGACGUUUAUUGGGCCUAAAGCAUCCGUAGCCGGUUCUACAAGUCUUCCGUUAAAUCCAACUGCUUAACAGGUGGGCUGCGGAAGAUACUAUAGAGCUAGGAGGCGGGAGAGGCAAGCGGUACUCGAUGGGUAGGGGUAAAAUCCGUUGAUCCAUUGAAGACCACCAGUGGCGAAGGCGGCUUGCCAGAACGCGCUCGGCGGUGAGGGAUGAAAGCUGGGGGAGCAAACCGG
rnacentral:rRNA from 1 species